rnacentral:rRNA from 1 species
UACAGAGGUCCCAAGCGUUGUUCGGAUUCACUGGGCGUAAAGGGUGCGUAGGCGGUCGGGUAAGUCUGAUGUGAAAUCUCCAAGCUCAACUUGGAAAUGGCAUCGGAUACUAUUCGGCUGGAGGAAUGGAGGGGAGACUGGAAUACUUGGUGUAGCAGUGAAAUGCGUAGAUAUCAAGUGGAACACCAGUGGCGAAGGCGAGUCUCUGGACAUUUCCUGACGCUGAGGCACGAAAGCCAGUGGAGCAAACGGG